AAAGAUAUAGCAUAAUUUAUGCGUUUCGCUUACAAUGAAAAAAUACUAUAAACUUAGUUAUCUUAA
rnacentral:tRNA from 1 species